rnacentral:rRNA from 1 species
UACAGAGGUGACAAACGUUGUCCGGAAUUAUUGGGCGUAAAGGGCGCGUAGGUGGUUGAGUAAGUCAGGUGUGAAAGCUCUGGGCUUAACCCAGGAAUUGCAUCUGAUACUGCUCGGCUUGAGUACGGUAGAGGAGGGUGGAAUUCCCAGUGUAGCGGUGAAAUGCGUAGAUAUUGGGAGGAACACCGGUGGCGAAGGCGGCCCUCUGGACCGAAACUGACACUGAAGCGCGAAAGCUAGGGGAGCAAACAGG